UACGUAGGGGGCAAGCGUUGUCCGGAUUUAUUGGGCGUAAAGAGCUCGUAGGCGGCUUGUCGCGUCGACUGUGAAAUCCCGAGGCUCAACUUCGGGCUUGCAGUCGAUACGGGCAGGCUAGAGUUCGGUAGGGGAGACUGGAAUUCCUGGUGUAGCGGUGAAAUGCGCAGAUAUCAGGAGGAACACCGAUGGCGAAGGCAGGUCUCUGGGCCGAUACUGACGCUGAGGAGCGAAAGCGUGGGGAGCGAACAGG
rnacentral:rRNA from 1 species